AUGUUGUAUUUUAGGUUUCUU
rnacentral:piRNA from 1 species